CCGAAACCGCUCCCUAUUGGCUGCGGCCGGGUGGGGGUGCGGGGUCCGUCCCGGCGGUCACCGAGAGCCAGGCGGGGUCUGCGGGUUGGAUUAUGUCAUCCUUUUAUUUUUAGCCGCUUUCGGCUUCCCCCUAUUCUCGCAGCGCCUGUUGCAGGCUUGUGGUUGUGGGCAGGUCGAGCUGAGGAUCGCAGGGAGACGGCUGUUAGGGGUCGGAUCCACGGGAGGACCGGGCGCGGGACACGACGCAGCGCCCAGCGGGCGGGAGUGCUGUGUUCCUUCGUUGUGAGUGCGGCUCUCACGGCUCGGACACGAAUGGAGGACGUGCAUUGGAUGGGGCCCGGGGCAACCUGGUCCGGUGGGAGGCAUCCCUGUCCACAGCAGGGGGUUGGAGAUGAUCAUCUUUGAGGUCCACUCUUUCCUGAGUCAUUCUUUGAUUCUAUGAAGUCAUUUUCAAAUAACACAUUUGUUGUGACUAUUUAUUUUUUUCAGUUAUGUCAAGGAAACAUCAAAAUAUCUUGUAUCGUGGACAAGUCAAAUGAACAUAAAGCUGUGGGCACAGGAAAAUGUUUCAAAUUAGCAUCCCGCUGGCAGAAGCAGUUGCAAUGUGAAUUCCUUUCUAGCUGGCCUAGCAGCAGCCAUCAAGCAGAAACCAACUGGAAUAAAUGCUUCUGCUCCUGAGCAAGCCAGAAGCAGACCUGGGAGCAGGAAUUUGAUAAUAUUCUACACCAGCACAGAAUAAACUGCAUGAGAAUGAAAGACAAUGAGAUCAGUGAAUGAAAAGGGUUAAUAUAAUGAAUAAAGAAAAAAUGGAUCUCCUGGAAAUCCCAUAAUUCAAGCUCUUAGUUUCUUCAGAGCAAGGUGGUACUCAAAAUUAUUUGUUUUCAGGAUUUAAAUUGACUGUUAUUAUGUGCAAUUAUGGAAUUGCACAUAUAUUAAUUAAUAAUUAAACACAUAUAACAUCAAUAAUGUUGUAGAUGUUGUAGAUUGUCAUUUGAGGUCAGUUAUGCCAUUGGUGGCUUUGAAAGACUGUUCUGUCCAUCAGCUAUUUGAAAAGGGGAUGCGGCCUUUUUGUUUGUUUGUUCUGUGGUGUUUUUUUUUUUUUUCCCACCUCGUUGUUCAUCCAACAAACUGCACAAUUGAUUGCCAGUGGCUGCUGGAAAGCCAAGGCCUGUUUGAAAAAUUUUGAAGGCUGUGUGACUGAAGUUUGUCCUUCCACUAUCGUCUCUACCUGCUGAAUAGCAGAAGAUGCUUCUAUUGUUUACUACAUGGGUACCUGAGCCAUGCCUCCCUCUGGAAGAGCCUUUCAUCUAUACAAAACUGGGGAAUCUGGAACAGUUCCCAGCUUUGAGGAUUUUGUUUCAUGCAUUGAUUGAUAUCAAGUGGUUGCACUUUACAUUCUUUACCUGCACUAGAGGCGGUCCUCACAGAGAUACCUUCAACAGCCAAAUGCAUUCAUAACCUUUGCAGUGCUCAGAAGGACCGUAGCAGUAGUUGUGUUUGUGCUUACGUUCAUGAUACAACAUUUACUGAAGAAUAAAUUAAAUUGAUAAAGAUAGGAAAAUGAUAUUCUGGUUGAGUUACUAAACACUUUGAAUUAAGUACGGAUAUCAUGCACAAGAUAUUAAUAUUGUGACUUCAGGGAAUCAAGUUUCUUAGUCCAGUUUUUCAUGAUAAUGUUAGGCUUGUAACUUCCCAGGAAGAUGAGGGGAGAGUAUGAAUUGUCUAUGUGAAGAAUGUUGCAUAUGGAAAAGUUGUGUGAGUUUGCAUACAUUGGAAGCUUGGCAUUAUAGAAUAGCCUUGUUCUUCACCCUCAGCUCCAACUUUGCUUCUCUCAGUUUUUCUCAGUCAACAAUUGUCUUUGCACCAAUUACAGUGGUAAACUCAGUAGAAGAAAAAUACUCUUGUUUAAUAAAAGAUUUUAAGGCUACUGUGACCUGCUAAACAUCAA